rnacentral:tRNA from 1 species
CGCGGGGUGGAGCAGUUGGCAGCUCGUCGGGCUCAUAACCCGAAGGCCGCAGGUUCGAGUCCUGCCCCCGCAA